rnacentral:lncRNA from 1 species
GAAUUGAUGUCAUACUGUGACUAGACCCAGAGCUGUCAAAACUGGCAGGUGCCCGUUCACCGACUGUCAGUGAUUGCCUUUCGGACUCAAAGGACAACGAGUGAAGCUUAACAUUUCAGAUUCAAGGAAAACUGCACAUAUGAACCAAUGAAAUCCGGUUUUACAAACUUAACUGACUUGCUGGACGGCCGCCAAGAUUCGAAAGAUUUGAGCUGUCAAACUCAGCUGAGUGACAAUGGUGGUAUAGGCGGGUGUUCUAGCAGAUAAGCGAAGAACACUUUGAUAGUCUUCUUUCUUGGAUGAAAAGUCUUCAUAUGCAGGGGCAAGAAAAGAAGUAGCUGUUUUUGAACAGAGGAACAAUGGUCGUCCAGAGAGAAAUCAAACCAAAACACGAGAUGGUGUUUACGUCUGCGAAGUCGCCUGCAGACGACAACAACCCUUCUCUGGAUGAUUGUCCUUUAUUGCUAAAUCAACUAAAUAUUUCGCCUCAGGUGUCGUCGGAAAAGUUUUCUGACAUAUACAGGAAACUUCAAGAAGCAAUGAAAACACUCCCUGUGGAUCCCCCAACCUUGAAAAGACUGGCUCCAAGUGGUCAUGGCAUGGAUCUGAGACUAAGAGCUGUCACUGUUAUUCGAUGUCUGCAUUUGUUCUUUGGUGGUACUAGUGAUGUGUUUGCAACAUCCAUCAGUGUCUUGGACUCUUUUAUGUCUCUUGUCCGAGUUCAACAGAAGUAUCUAUCAUGUGUUGCAGCAGCUUGUUUUUUCAUUUCGUCCAAAGUGCAUUUAGAAGAGGAGGAAAUUCCAAGUGGCAACGAACUUGCAUAUUUACAUGGGAACAAGUGGACAUCAUCAGAUCUCUGCAGGAUGGAGGUUGUCAUUCUACAGAAACUCAGAUGGGAUAUUCCAAAACCAACUACCUCACAUUCAUCAGACUGUUUGAAAAACUGUUUGCUCAAUUUCAUCAUACAUCUCUUUGUCUUGACACUCUCAUCCAUAUGGCUGAAAGCUUCACCAAACUAGAAGAAAGUACAGUAUUCAGGGCACCAACACUUGCCUUUUGUAUACUUUGUCACAUACUGGAGAAACAAGGCGAUAUUGCUGCUGAUACUAGACUCAUUUUGAUACAUCUACAGUUAAUAUGUGAUAUCCAAGAUUCUGAGUUAUUUGAAUGCAAAGAUCUCCUUGGCCAAAGUUUAAAGGAGAGUGGACUCCAAGCUAGUCAAUCAAGCCGUCCAUCAGUUUUCUUCCCAUUCCUGAAAAUUCGCUCACGACCAAGCUCAGAAGGAGAAAGUGAACUUCCAUCCAUUACUGAAAUCAGUUCCUACUAGACAGAUCACAUCAUCAAAUCCAGAGUAAAGAAAUGAGUCAGCUUGGACCAUUAGCCUGUUCGUCAUUGUUUCAACGUAACUGAUCCGAUCAAAUUUUAUUCAAAGUGAUUUUUCUUGUGGAAUGUUCAAUAGUCCAUGAGAUCCAUGAGAAGGUACUCACUUCACAAUGAAUCAAGUCGUUAUUAGACUAUGAUGAAUCUCAUCAUUCACAUCAUCAUUCAUUGUACAUUGAAUCAUUUCAUUUACUUGUCUGUGAUAAAAUUGAAAUACCCACCCUCAAGGUGUUCAGUUAAAACUGAGAUAAAAACACUUCAUAACAAUGUACCCUAAUACUGAACACAAAACACCCAUUACAACCCCAUUUUGUGUAACAUUUGUAGAUGUCAUCUUGUUUUAUGCUUUGUUGUUUUACCAUAGUCCUGAGAAUGCUGGGGGGAAUUAUUUAUUGUGAUUGGUUAUGAAAUACCUAGUCAGAAAACUUAAUAUAUUUUUCUUCAUACCCCCAUCCCAAGUAAACUGCUAGCCAUGUUGUUUAGUUUUUAGUCUAAUCAUCAUUAAAGGAAAAAUCUGUUUUAAUACGGUAUUGUACAUUUCAUUGAUAAAUGAAAUAGAUUAUGUAUAUCUCAGUAUUCAUGAAAGCUUAUAGCGUUGUUAAGACUUAACAUGCGUAAGGUGCAAUAAUUAUUUUUAAUGUAAAGGUGUAUGAGAGUUUGGAUUUUAUUUAUUACCAUCAAUUAUUUAUCAUAUGAACAUGUUUUAUGAUGUGAGAACAAGUCUUGUAUUCACAUUAAUUUUUGGAGUCCAUGAAGGGACAGCAGAUAAAUGCAUAUGCAGUGUUUGAAAUAAAGUUUGAAAAUCAAGCAUUCCUUGCCAUUAUCUCAAUUACGUAACUUAAUUCUUGGGUGAAAGACCUCAAUUUCAAACACUACCAUGCAUUGUUAUUGUUUCUAUUUCCUAUGUUAUGACUAAAAGAAUCAUUGUGUAAAUACAUGUGAUCUUAUAGCAGUUGAAUGCAAAGUACAUAAUAUGUAAUGAUACAUGUUCAUGUAGUCCAUUUUUUUACCACAAUUAAAUUUUAUAGAAAUUUGA